rnacentral:rRNA from 1 species
UACAGAGGGGGCAAGCGUUAUUCGGAAUUAUUGGGCGUAAAGGGCGCGUAGGCGGCUUGGCAAGUGGAAGGUGAAAUCCCUCGGCUUAACCGAGGAACUGCCCUCCAAACUGCUUUGCUUGAGGCCGGGAGAGGCGAGUGGAAUUCCCAGUGUAGCGGUGAAAUGCGUAGAUAUUGGGAGGAACACCAGUGGCGAAGGCGGUCUGCUGGGCCAGUACUGACGCUGAGGCGCGACAGCGUGGGGAGCAAACAGG